GACGAACGCUGGCGGCGUGCUUAACACAUGCAAGUCGAACGAAGUGGCGAACGGGUGAGUAACGCGUAAUCAACCUGCCCUUCAGAGCGGGACAACAGUUGGAAACGACUGCUAAUACCGCAUACUGAGGUAGGGGAUUCCGUCUGAUUAGCUAGUUGGGGGGGGAACGGCCCACCAAGGCGAUGAUCGGUAGCCGGUCUGAGAGCAUGAACGGCCACAUUGGGGCUGAGACACGGCCCCGACUCCUACGGGAGGCAGCGGUGGGGAAGCUUCCGCCAUGGACGAAAGUCUGACGGAGCAACGCCGCGUGAGUGAUGACGGCCUUCGGGUUGUAAAGCUCUGUUAAUCGGGACGCGGUACCGGAAUAGAAAGCCACGGCUAACUACGUGCCAGCAGCCGCGGUAAUAC
rnacentral:rRNA from 1 species